UACCAGAAGCCUAGAAGGGGAUGCAGCUGUAGUAGAAGGAAGGCUACCAGAUAUGAAGUGUGGACUCUGGUAGAUGUAAACAACCAUGACCAAACCACAGCCACAAAAGAAAAGAGUCAGGGGAGUUGAUACCUUUUCCUUCUACCUUCCAAUGUCUGGAUGUUUUCUUUGAUUGGCUGGGCCCAGUCCGAAUGCUUGAGGACAAGGAAAUUCAGCUGACAAGGUCUAUCAGAAGCCAGCCUCCUAUGAACAGAGAGGCAAGGUGGAACAAGGCAAGGAAAAACAAAACAACAACAACAAAAAAACCCUAAACAGAUCAACAAAGGAUGUGCACAGCACAAACCCCCAAACAUGAGACUCAUGGAACAAUUUCUCCUACUGAAUCAGGAUGGAGAGGUACAGAGCCAAUCACCAUGUCUCCCUCUCUGCUGAUUCAUUGGACCAUAGAAUCUCUGGGGCACCCCUGCUGAAUUCUGGUCUAAUCCUUAUGUUAUGAAUACCUCAGCCACAGUCAACAAUAGGCCUGUGUGCUUUGCACAUAACUAUGUCCUAAAACCACGAUUGUGUGUAUAUGCUCUUCACCACUGAGCCUUCUCUGCAGCUCUUGUUUUUGUUUUUAAUAAGGCAUUGCCACAGCUUUUCUUGAGUAUUUUUGCAUUCACAGAGUGUGACAUUUGUUUUCUAGGUUCUCCCCAGCGCUCCCGGUUCAUCCAGUGUCAUGGUUUUCCAAAUUUUAUUUAGUAGUAAAAUUCUUUGCUAAACAAAAUCUUACAACAGAAGAUUCAACCAGCCACAGUGCUCAUAAGGCUGUAUAUGUUCUUAACCUGGAGUUACCAUACUGUGACAAGAAGGGCACCAAAUCUGUCCCUAUGCAUGUGAUCACACUGAGGGCCUCAGAGUCUGGAAGCCUGAUGGCUACAUCAUUUGUAUAUGAUAGAUGCUAGGCUUUUAUCCUUAUGAAGGCCUGUCAGAAGCCACCCUAUGGGUUAGCCAGAGCUGAUCAGUGAUGUCAAGCAUCCAGAAGUGCUGGGAUCACAGAAGCAUCCAGUUUGCUACAUGGACCCGAGGGAUCAAACUCAGACAGCAGCUGGUGAAGUUUGGACUCCAGGGGGCUCCUCUACACACCUGCCUGUCUGAAAGAAACCACCUUGGAAUUCUGAAGUAACUUCUGUCUCAGGAAGAGCCCUAAAACGAUUCCAAGGCACCUUUAUGCUACGUCUCUCCAGAGAACUGAAAAAUAAACUUACUUUCUGGGAA